rnacentral:pre_miRNA from 1 species
AGCUCGCUGGCAGAGACUUUCUGGUGAAGUCAGACAGCAAGUCUUUGCCAGGGAGCUGC